rnacentral:rRNA from 1 species
GACAAACGCUGGGGCAUGCCUAACACAUGCAAGUCGAACGGGCAGAACAGGGAAGCUCUUCGGAGUGGAACUGGAAAGUUAGUGGCGGAUGGGUGAGUAACGCGUGGACAACCUACCUUGUAAAGGGGAAUAACCUCGAGAAAUCGAAGCUAAUACCCCAUAAUAACCUUAAUUCGCAUGAAGUAAGGAGGAAAGGCGGCCUUAGUGCUGUCGAUACAAGAUGGGUCCGCGUCUGAUUAGCUAGUUGGUGAGGUAAAGGCUCACCAAGGCGACGAUCAGUAGCCGGCCUGAGAGGGUGAACGGCCACAUUGGGACUGAGACACGGCCCAAACUCCUACGGGAGGCAGCAGUGGGGAAUCUUCCGCAAUGGGCGAAAGCCUGACGGAGCAAUGCCGCGUGAGUGAAGAAGGCCUUCGGGUUGUAAAACUCUGUCCUAGACGAAGAGAGAGUAUUGUAGUAACUG